rnacentral:rRNA from 1 species
AUGAGGAGGCGCUCGGUCGCUCUACUCCUCCUUGUCGCGGCCACCUACCUCCCUGUAUCGAUCGCCACCGACACCAUCGACCUGACCGCGUCCAUCGCCGGCAACCAGACGCUGCUGUCCGCCCGUGGAGCAUUCAGGUUAGGCUUCUUCAGCCCGCCCGGCAGCCCCGCCGGCAGGACCUACAUCGGCAUUUGGUACGCACGCAUCCCAGUACAGACCGUCGUGUGGGUCGCCAACCGCCAGAACCCGGUCGUCCAAUCCCCGGGCGUCCUCAAGCUCUCCCCCGACGGCCGCCUUGUCAUCGUCGACGGCCAGAACACUACCGUUUGGUCCUCCUCGGCGCCCACCGGAGACGUGACCACCAAGGCCACGGCUCAGCUUCUCGACAGCGGCAACUUGGUCGUGAGCUCCGAUGGAAGUGGAUCGAGCCAGAGCGUGGCAUGGCAGAGCUUCGACUACCCGACGGAUACGCAGCUCCCGGGCAUGAAGGUCGGGGUGGAUCACAGGAGUGGCUUCGCCUGGAACAUGACGUCGUGGAGCAGCCCCGCCGACCCCUCCCCGGGGCAGUACACGGUCAAGCUGAUCACCGGCGGACUGCCUGAGUUCUUCCUCUUCCGCGGCCCGGCGAAGAUCUUCACGACCGGGCCAUGGAACGGCGUGGUGCUCACCGGCGUGCCGGAGCUCAAGACCGAGGCGUACACAUUCGUGCUCGUGUCAAACCCCAACGAGACGUACAGCACCUACUACAUCAGCUCCCCGUCUCUGCUGACGCGGCUCGUCGUGGAAGGCUCGACGGGGCUGCUGCAGCGGUACGUGUGGGCCGACGGCGCGUGGAACAACUUCUGGUACCACCCGACCGACCCGUGCGACAGCUACGCCAGGUGCGGCCCUUUCGGUUUCGCCUACUGCGACACCGCGCAUUCGCCGGAGUGUAGCUGCUUGCCGGGGUUCCAGCCGCGGUCACGGAAGUGGAGCUUCAGGGACGGCUCCGGCGGCUGCAUCAGGAAGACCAAGUUGAGCUGCGGGGACGGCGACGGCUUCUGGCCAGUGAACAAUAUGAAGCUGCCGGAGGCGACUAACGCGACGGUGCACGCCGACAUGACGCUGGACGAGUGCAGACAGUUGUGCCUGGCCAACUGCAGCUGCAGAGCCUACUCCGCCGCGAACAUCAGCGGGGGCGUCAACCGCGGGUGCGUCAUUUGGGCCACCGAUCUGCUUAACAUGCGGCAGUAUCCGGCGGUCGUGCAGGACCUGUACAUCCGGCUCGCGCAGUCAGAUGUGGAUGCCUUGAACGUCUCAGCUGCAGGUAAGCGCCGACGCACCUUGGUGAUCGCCGUCGCCGCGGCUAUUUCCGGCGCGCUUCUUCUGGCAGCCGCUGGCUGCUUAUGUUUCUGGAGAUGCAAGGCGAGGAGGAAGCGUCAGCUUCAGGCGCCAGGCAGUGGAGACAAUGUGCUUCCAUUCAGGACCAGAAAACACCCUGAUUUGAGCCCAGCAAGGGAGGACGAUGAGAACAAGAUGAGCUGUGGCGAAGACGAUCUCGACCUUCCGUUGUUCGAUCUCGCCGUGAUCCUCGCCGCCACGGACAACUUCGCGGCGGAGAGCAAGCUUGGAGAAGGAGGAUUUGGCCCUGUCUAUUUGGGAAGGCUUGAGGAUGGGCAAGAAGUAGCUGUGAAGAGGUUGUCCAAGAAAUCAUCACAAGGUGUGGAGGAAUUCAAGAACGAGGUGAGGCUAAUCGCCAAGCUCCAGCACAGGAACCUGGUGAGGCUGCUCGGCUGCUGCAUCGACGACGAUGAGAGGCUGCUCGUGUACGAGUUCAUGCACAACAACAGCCUGGAUACCUUCAUAUUUGAUGAUGCAAAGCGUAAGUUGCUAGGAUGGAGCAAGCGCUUUGAGAUCAUUCUGGGGAUCGCGCGGGGUCUGCUCUAUCUCCACGAGGAUUCGAGGGUCAGGAUCAUCCACAGGGAUAUGAAAGCGAGCAACGUGCUGCUGGACAGGAACAUGGUCCCCAAGAUAUCGGACUUCGGCAUCGCGAGAAUGUUCGGAGGCGACCAGACAACGGCGUACACCCUGAAGGUCAUCGGGACAUACGGUUACAUGUCUCCGGAGUACGCCAUGGACGGCGUGUUCUCCGUCAAAUCCGACAUCUACAGCUUCGGCGUCAUGGUGCUGGAGAUCGUCACCGGCAAGAAAAUCCGAGGCUUCUACGACGCCGAGCUCGAUCUAAACCUCUGCGGCUAUGCGUGGAUGUUGUGGAAGGAAGGCAGGAGCACGGAGCUCCUGGACGAUGCGAUGGGCAGCAGCUGCGAUCACAGCCAGGUGCGGAGGUGCAUACAGGUUGCUCUCAUGUGCGUCGACGUGCAGCCUAGGAACAGGCCGAUGAUGUCCUCGGUUGUCAUGAUGCUGGCCGGCGAGAACGCCACGUUGCCGGAGCCAAAUGAGCCCGGCGUAAACCUGGGGAGGAACAGGACAGAUACAGGGUUUUCUGAAACUCAAAGUGAGUUCACUGUGACUACGACAGAUACAGCUCACAGCAAAAGUUAG